CUUCGGCAUAACAAUGCAUUUCAAGGAAAGUCCACGCGCCAAGGAAUGUUUUCUGUCGUUGAGCCGUUAACGUUUUCCCUUACGCGCCUAACGGUGAUACCUGCUCAGGUAACCGGUAACCGACAGACCGUUGUAACCGGGUUCUGGAGUAACGGAGAGUUGAAAGCGUGGCUAGCUUUAGCAACCGAGUAGCAGCACCAUCCGACAUUGUCACAGAGCUGGCGGAGGAAGUCUCUUAGUCGAGCAGGUACUUCAGUGUCUCUGGCGGUGCUCGGUGGUCGGCCGUUUGUUCUAGAAUAACUUGAUGCUUCAUCUCCGAGGCUGGAUCAUCUUCUCUUCUCACCGAGCCAGAAAACUAGCUAACAAAGGUUAAGACAAUCGGAGGCUACAUUCAAGUGCCUCCACUGUACCGUUUCCUUUCCCAGAGUGUGACUCGUCUGCACGACGUCACCAAUGCGACCAUGGGAAAUAGCAGUAAAUAGGCUGCCACCAACAGCCCCCUUAAACCCGAGGAGGUUCCUUGGAGAGCCCUGCAACGCCCCAGUGCACCUCAGGAGAAGCCCACCAGUGAGACGCCAGUGGGGGAGACGAGACAGACCUGUUCUGCACAGUUCCCUGGUCCAGGAUGAGAAUUUCCAUCAUCUGCUUUUCUCCCAACACCACCAACAGGUUCCUUUAGAUGAGUCCAGACAAUACAGCCACACCAGCACAGCACCACGCAUGCUUCACCCUGCUGCUCACCUGCCACAGCAGAGCCCCAUCAUGGUGGAUCUACAUGACCAGAUGCACCAGGGAUCAGUUCCAAUAUCAUAUACUGUUACAACGGUGACGACCCACGGAUUUCCCAUCCACACCGGGCAGCCCCUUCCAGGGUGCAACACUCAGCAGCUCCCAGCAUGCUCGGUAAUGUUCAGUGGACAGCUCUCUCUGCUCUGCUGCCUUCCUCCUCCUCUCAUACAGGCAUGUACCAUGCAGCAUAUGCCAGUGUCUUAUCAAGCCUUUCCACCCUUGAUCUCCAGCGAACAUUUUGUAUUGCACCCAACCCCAUCUGUACCCCCCCACCAGCCGCCGCACCUUACUCCACUGAGCCAGUUCGUCCCUUUACAGCCUCAGCACCCACGCAUGCCUCUACAGAGGGUAGAGAAUGAAGUUGACCUAAGAGGGGACCAGCACCCUAUAGGGACCUUCACCUACCCUCCAUCUCAUCACCCACCAGCGCUGCCUCCGUCUCUACCCUUACAGUAUCUUCCUCAAGAGCCUCUGCAUCAGGAGCUUCCCUUUGGAGUGCCAUAUCCCCACAUGCUGACCCGGCGAGUAAAUGGACAGAGAUAUCGGUUGCAGCAACCCCUCCCCCCUCCUCCUCCUCCUCCAUCUUAUUACCCAGGCUUCCUCCCUUACUUCCUGUCAAUGCUUCCUGUGCCGCCAACAGCAGUGGGCCCCGCCAUUAGUCUCGACCUGGAUGUGGAUGAUGUUGAGAUGGAGAACUAUGAGGCAUUACUGAAUCUGGCUGAGAGGCUGGGUGAAGCAAAACCACGUGGGCUCACUAAAGCAGAUAUAGAGCAGCUUCCGUCCUACAGAUUCAACUCAGAGAAUCAUCUAUCUGAACAAACGCUGUGUGUUGUGUGCUUUAGUGACUUUGAGUGUCGGCAGCUACUUCGGGUAUUACCUUGUAACCACGAAUUCCACGCAAAGUGUGUGGAUAAAUGGUUAAAGACCAAUCGCACUUGUCCAAUCUGCCGAGCUGAUGCCUCGGACGUUCACCGGGAGGUGGAGUGAGAACUGUCUCUGAGUGCUGAACUUGAACGCUGCAUACACCAGAGUCUGUCCCGAAACUGGGGACAUCUGCCACCUAACCUGCGUCCUCCAGGUUUCAUUUUUAUUUGGUGGAUUUGGUUGUGGUAUUCAUGAUUAGCAGGAGUCCUGCAUUGGAAGAGAUUUGCCAAUGCUAUUGUGAACGUGUGACUUGCUGUGGUUAAAUGCAGAUUCUGUUGAGCCUGAGAAUACGGACUGCAAGUGAUGGGACAUGCAACUGUGGGGUACCUUGAACCCCAGAUUAUCCUCUCUGGAUCACAGAUCUGUACUAAAGCAGUCAUGGAUUAUUGGACUGCCAUUUCUUUUUUAGGUCAUUUGACAUAACUGCACAAGUGCUACACUCACUCUCAUGUCAGCAUUGGUCAUCUGACAAGUGUGUACGCGUGUGUGCAUAUUGUGUGUGUAUGUUUGUCCUGUUCACAGAGCCAAUGCAUUGUGUAACCACUGGAUACAGGGCAGCAUGCUAGGAUUUGCAUGAACUGUUGAUUCAGACUAGCAAUAUUUUAACCAAGCAUUGCCACCAAAUUGAUCAAAUCUUAAGAAAAAAGAAGAGACAAAGAAGCAUACUAAAAGAACUGCUUGCUUAUUCAGAAAGCGCAAUGAGGGAAGACUAGCAUGUGGUUCCACCCUGACUGCGUUUGAGUCCUCGUCUGAAGGCUGUGCUGAUGCCAUAGAGCUCUGGAGGCCUGUGCAGAAAGCAAUAUGUGCAGUGAGUGGCAAGUUUCAAAUGAACUUUCUUCCCCUUUUAGGGAGACGGGGCUUUUUAUUUCUUUCUUUGUGAGCCAAAUCCAAUAUACAGAUAUAGCCUAUACUGUUCAAGAUUUCAGAUCUGCCUUCUUAUGACCUUGACAAGCACAAACCUAUUACUAAUCCUGAAAAUACUUUGUCAUUUCCACUUGUUUUAAAAGUAUGCCGUUUUUAAUAAAGGUUUAUUUAUUGGUUUUAUCUUCUAGAGAAAAUACAUUGAAGGAAACAGUUGGAGCACUAACUUUGUUUGUGUAUGGUAUGUGUUAAAUUCUGGUAACUCGGUCGGGGUCAUCGUCUUAGGCCAUGGUAAUGGUGUUGUAAAAGAGCAACUGUAUGUAUAGCUAAAGUGUGAAUGCUUUUAGAUAAACGUUUGAAGACAGAAGAAUGUUGAAAACCUUUGUAGAAGUCACUGGUGACGCUCCACUUUACGCCAGCUGUCGGUGUCCCACAGUGAUCAGUCGGGGUUCAAAUGACAGAGCGGGAGUGUUCAGUAGUGUAGAAACACUGUUAGACUUCUAGUUCCCUGCUUGUGUUCACAAAAAAGAAAAAAAAAAACAGGAAACAUUUGGGGUGGGAUGGAAGAGAGCAUCAAAUGGACUUUUGCUUUGGAGUCACUCUUGUCUCUUGACUGCCCCAGUAAGCACUAACAGGCAGUUGUAACCUUUGCUUUUAUGUGUAAAGGGAUCUUGCCUUUUCUUUCCUUUUUUUCUUAAGUGAAUGUGAGUCUUUGAUGUGUGUGCCACCUACAAGAGAAAAAAAAAGAAGCCAUUUAAUGAGUUAAACCCACAGCUUUGAGAAUUAACCUAUGUGUACAUAUCUAUUAGCUGGCAUAUAUUGUAAGUUAAAAAAAACACUCAGGGCCUCUCAGUAUGUAAAAAAAAAAUAAAGGAGAACUGUCCAUUUCAAAUGGAAAGGAUGCCAUGGGAAGGGUAUAUCUGAAUUUAGUUUGGUCGUUUUCCUCAGACCAUAAAUAAUUUAAUGUAAUCAAUUAUAAUAUUCUGUUAUGUCGGAAAUGGUAGAUAUUACAUCAUUUAAAGACAGGCAUGCAAGAAAAAAGAUCAGUAAAUAUUAUAGUAUUCACUGAAAAGAGGCAAUGUACACUGCUACUCAUUACAAGUGUAUUAUUCAAACCUGUUUGACUUUUGUUCUCUAACUCAAACCAUAUGUUAAAGAUAGCGGUUGUGAUCCCAUUUUUUAAUGUGCAGCUGUGCACACUAUCCUACCUAAUUCACUCCCAAAUCUACUUCAGAGGUUUUUGCAUGACUUAAAAAAAGUAAAACAAGUUUGUUAUAGUGGAGGAUAUCUCUAAAUCCGGUGGGGACCUAUUUAACGGUGCACAAUAUGCAUGCUUGUCAACCAGAUCCCAACUGAUUUUUAGCUCUAGUUGGCUUUGGGUUCUGGGGGUUUGGAUCUUAAUGCUCAGCUGAUAACUGCCAUGCAUUGUACUGCACACAUUUGUAAUAGAACUGAAUGACUACAAGAUUUUAUUGCGCUAACUUCAUUUUAUAGGAAAAAAAAACUGGUCUUGAAUCCAGAAGUUCUUACAUAUGUUGUGUUACUGUUAUUGCCCUAACGACUGAAAAUUACAUGCUCUGAAACUACUGUAGUUAUCAAAAGCCAUAGUGAAAAGGUGCUAGAUGUUCUGCUUUUAGGUAUGAAAACUCACUUGCGUGAAUGCAAUAGUUUGUCAUGGAUCCCAUGUAUUCUUAAAGCAUGUUAUACUAAUACCCCUGAACAAUGUCAGUGAAGAUCAAUAUAGUUUAAGGGAAUAAAAAAUAAAGUGUUGUCAUACUUAUUUCAGUGUAGUACUGUACCUGCCUAUCAGGCUCUUGCUCUCAGUGUAUCAAUAUCUUAAAAUGUAUUGUUCACAUAUAGAUACCUUAAUUCAUGUUAAUGUUAACACUGUUCUUUUUGGAGUAAAUAUUGAUAAUUGACAAUAUCCAGCUACCCUAUUAAAUAAAAAGAGAACCUCCCAUUAAAACCUAGAUAAUGAGUUGAUUUUGAAUGACAACUGAGAAUAGAGUCUUGUAGUCUUUCUGUUAAGAGUUAUUGAAUAAUCUCACAGCUUGUGUGGUGCAAAAGUGUGUUCCAAUAAGCAGCUAAAAUUUAUUUAGGAUUUGUGAUUGAUUGCUCCGUAGACGCCAUUUAUUGUUUACCAAUGACUUUUGCUGUGGUGGGAUAGUGGUUUACUGUUCUUACUCUCCCUGGCCUCUAGAGGUCCUUGCCUGAACACCAGACUACCCACCCGCCAACAGAGCCAGGGGCAUGUGUUCUGUGUUAGGCAGAUAUUUUGCUUUGGUACUUGCACAUUUACAGUUACCUCAUUUUUUCCAUGUUUGUAUUGGAGGGCGGGGGGAGAAAACAACUAAUAUAUAUUAUAUAUAGGAAAUGGUUCUUAUUAAUGUUAUAAUUUUUCAUUCCAUUGGAAUCAUAUUGUUUGUAGCAUUUAACAUAACUAGUUAGUGUAUUAUAUAUACAUCUGUAUACUGUUUGAAAUUUUUAAGAUUUGUACUUUUUUUAAAUGAAAGUUGCUAGUUAUGCUUUACCAAGUAGUGCAAUCAUAUUUUUUUUUAAUUGUUGUGGCUGAUUUGAAAGGGUUGUUCACUAAUAAAUGUAUGAUGUAUA